GCUCUCCGCUGCGAGUCCGCCGGGACUAACCGGGCGUUUGCGAGAAGGGGUGCGUCCGAGGGCCCCUCCCGCGUGUCCGGCGCCCACCUUUGGCCCUGAGGGCCGAGUGGGGAGCCUCACGACGCUGUUACAGCCUUUCAGAUGCACGGACUGGGAAACUGGGGCUCAGAGAAGUCAAGUGGCUCGCCCAAGGUCACCCAGCGAGUGAUCCUGGGAAGAGGGGACAAGGGCCGAGCUGGAGCUGGGAAGGGCGCCCCAGUUCGCCCCAGUCGCGCUCUGAGGAAUAGCAGCGGUACCGCCCUGCUCUCUAAAGCUUCCUGGACUUCUCUAAGUUAUGUCGCGUUGCUGUCCCCCCGUAUUUAUAAGAGAGUAAGGCAGGGGCGCCGUCCUUUCUCCGCGCCUGAGCUCAGAGCGCCAACCUCCUGAGAUCAGCCAGCUCAGAGCUGCAAGGCUGUUCUCUGGGCCUUCUGAGCCUCCCUCGCCUUCCCUUCAGCUGUAACUCCAGGGACGCUGGGCAGACACCCAUCUGUGGACUCCUCACUGCUGGACAUGGUGCUUCGCCCCGGCCUGGCCAACUGAGUGAAGGACCUGUGACCGUCGCACCUGUUUCUGACCUGGGCCCAGCGUCAGGCUUGUAGGCUGCUUGUGGCUGCUCUUCUCAAUCCCAGGUCUAUGACUGGCCUCUCAGCCCCAGAAACAAAAAGGGCACUUCCCAAACCACCCUCACCCAGAAGGGCAGGGGUGUGGAUGGCUGCAUCCUGGCUGCUACCUGCCUCACUAUGCCACUUUGUUAAUUAACUUAGAGCCUGAGCUUCCCAGUCUACACCCCCAAAACCAGGGGUAUGCCAGUAGUCCUGCCGGACAACAGGAGGGACUCAUAGGACAAUGUAUUUUCCUUUUACAACUGAAGGGAAGCAUACACCUCUGGCUUAUAUUCCUGUGUCACAGGACUUACAUUCUAUGGUAGGGUUCCCUGAAAGCUGCUUGUAAAGGGGGAAAGGGGGACAGAGAAUGUCUGGGAUGAGGCUAGAAGAGGACAAUGGGGCCUGGAUGCCCAGCGGCUUCAUCGGAACACUUAGACUCUCUCUCUUCUAACAGCUCUUCUCCCUCUGUGUCUUCCAUUCAGACCAUCUGCCCCGGUGACAGUCCAGACCUUGAGUAAUCACUAUUUUUAUUAAGUGCCAGCCCUAUGUUUAUGACUUAGGAUUCACUAUGGUUCUCACAACACCCUGUAAGGAAAAUUCUAUUGAUCACCACUUACAAAGAAGGAAACUAAGGCCCGGGACAGUUUAAUACCACCUUGCUUAAGGCUCCACAGCUGUCAGCGGGGAUCCCAGGCCCACCUGACUCUCUGACCCUUCUUUCUCUCCCUUCCUGGUUCUGCCUUCCCAGGUAGCAAUCUGGGACACUCCUGACUGGCUCUUCAUCCCUCCCUGAUCUGAGCUGGCAGAGUCAGUCCACCAGCAGCUGUGGAGGAGGGCUAUGCACUGGGAAACUGACAGCAAGGGCACUGAAUCUUCUGCUCCAGACCCUCCUUCUCUGAGAACCUUCCAAGAGGGCAGGUGCCAAGCGCUGUGAGUGCUCAUGCAGGGUCCUCCGGGGAGGAGGGAGAUGAAUGUCUCUGUGAGAUGCUCAGGAAAUUGUCCCUACCCUCCAACCUGGCUGACCCAUUGGCUGUGGGGCACCUCCAUGCUGUGCUGCACACUCUGCUCAUCUUCAUGAGAUCACCGUCCUGCAGGUGCUAACCCUCUGAUUCUUUUGAAAAGGAGAAAUCAGGUCUUGGGAAAGGCGGUGAUUUUCCUGCAAGCAGCUGCAGGUAGUACUCACACUCAGGUCUUUUGGCUUCCAGGCCGAAAGAGGUCUCUCUAGAAUACACCAGUACUCACUGAGCACGUACUAUGUGCAGAGACUGCUCUGGGUACAGGGGACAUAGCCAUGGACAGAACAGACUUCUCCAAAGGCCCUUAAGGCCAGGGCACUGGGGCUGCUUACUCCAUCUGCAGAGUUUGUGGUUAGACUGACCAGGUGCUCAGGUCUGGACGGGAAGCCCCGCACUGCAAUAAGGAACUGUGGCUGUUCUUUCUUCUCACAUCCAGGUCUGGGACUAGCUUCUCAGCCCCAGAGACAAAAGGGUACUUCCCAAACCCACCCCACUCAGUGACACUGGGCCAUCUCAGAAAACACAGCAGGUCCCUGUGGCCCCAGCCCACCGCCAUAGCGCUGUCUGCCAGAAUCCACACCUGUCUCCUCUUCCCCCACCUACUGACUCCUGGGGAGAGAAAGACAAGUCCCUGGCCUUUAUGACACUAACUGCAAUAAGUCAGACACAGCUGCAGCAAACUCAAUGUCAUCAGAGGAGACACAAAAUGUAGGGAGUGUGUCUAUGAGGAAGUUUUCAUAUUUGCUGCUCACACUACAAGCUUCUCACUGCUGUUCACACUACAAGCUUCCUCUUCGUUUUGUUUAAGAAAGGUGGAUCCUAUCCCAGUUACUCCAAAACUCUGCAGUGCCAUACUGUGAAGUCCUAAUCCGACUGUACCAAAGGCCAGAGAGACCUCGGCUUGGCCCCAGCUGCCUUGCUUACGAUCCUCCUCACAGGAUCAUUUUGAGGUUGAAACUGAAGCAUUAAGCUCACAUAGGUACCAUGUGCAUUUUAAAGCUUUUCCACUCUCUGUCCUCUCCACCAGCAUUGUUUGUGCUCCUGUUCACACUUAACACAUCUGGUCCUCGUCAUCUGUGGACCCCUUUGCCUUCACACUGUCCUCAGAGCCUGCUCAGCUGCCCAGCCCCAGUGCCUGGUCCAGAGGUCAGUUCACAGCAAGCACUCAGCAUUCCUUCUGGAUCCGUGUCUCCCAAAAUGCAGUCCCGGAACAGCAAUGCUACCCAGCCAUCUGAGGCCAAUUCAUUUGUCAUGUAAGGCGGGCACCAAAAGAUGGCACAUCCUUACCUAGAAAUCGUGUCAGGGAGGAAGACAAGAGUGUUCACUCUAAUCCCUGACUCCAGUCAGUUACAGCAGGAAAUACUUUUUCAAAACUUGUAACUGUGGCUGAAAAGCCUUGACACGAGUCGGGGAGGACACAAAGCAACUCUUCAAAGUUGGGAGGCUUCACACAGUUCAAAGCCCAGUGUAGAUCUGGAGUGCUUUCACCAAGGACUAUUUGGUCUAUGAGUGGUUCUCUUGUAUUUUUCUCAAACAAGCUCCAAAAAGCUCCCUCAUUCAGGUAGUCACAAGCCACCACUUUUUAGAGAUGAGGAAACUGUUGCUCAGAAGGUUUAAGUGACUCAGAGAUAGUAAGUGGAGAAUUGGACACAUGUUUGCAUGCGUAUACACACACACAUGCACACGCACGCGCAUGCGUGCACACACACACAAACACACACUCCACCCAAUGUGAGGAUGGAUACAAUCAGACCUUCAAUCCCAGUCACUCACAUACCUGAAGACACCUGUCUUUCUGUCUCUGUAUCCAUCUGCCCUGCAAAUCUAUACCCUCCUGUCAGUAUUUGGUGGAUGGAAACCUCAGUUUCUCUCGUCAGCUCUCUUCUUUGACAAGAGAAUCGAGCCAUCCUGGCUCUGUCUUUCUGGUUAAAAAAAUAAAAUAAAUAAAUAAAUAAAAAACCACACACACAGAUAUUGUGCACACACCCCCUAGUGGCCACAUGUGGAGACACAUGCCCCACAAAGUUUGCUUUGGGGUUGAUAACCACUUGAGUUUGAGAAGGAAACCCCAGAUAGGAUUGCAACUCCAUCCUAGGAAGGAGGAUGGUGAAGGAUGAUCUUAUGUGGAAGACAGUGAAAAUGGAAAAAGACAAAGAAAAGGGGAGGAGAAAGAAAAAUGUGAUGGAGAAAAAGAAGACAGGAGAACCAAAGGAAGAUUAAAGAAAGGUAUAUAGAAUAGGAGGAGUGAGAGAAAAAAAUAAGGCAAGCUUAAAGGAGGGACAUUUCUCAAUGUGAAGUCUUUCUCUAUUUCAAAUAUAAGCACAAAAAGUAAUGAUGGAAAAUAACGCGAACUGGUGUGUCCAGGGUCAGCUGGCCAUCCUGUACACAGGCAGGUGGGGACAGACGAGCCAAGGAUGAGAGGGGACAGGGCCAGUAUCUGACCCCGUCACUGCCUGACUUGGUAAUAUUUUCAGAAUCCAAAGCUUUCUCUGUCCCUAUUUCUGAGCUUGUAAAGGGUAGAUAAUAGCAGUUGUUUGUUGACUUCUGAUGAGAAUAAUAAAGAUUUGCAGAGAAAACCCUGAAAAGUGCUCUAAGCUCUUGGACAUAACCAUCACAGAAGUGUGUUUUAUUAUUUUUCUCAAUGCAGCAAAAACCCUCCAUCCUUUGCUUCCUGGUGUAAAAGGUUAUAUGUGAUGCUGGAGUGCCAAAGUACUUGCUGUAUUUCAACAAUACAUCAAGUUAUCACCACCUCUGGUGCUUUGGAAGAUGCUGUGAUUUGGAAAGCACUGUCGAAAUAUAAAACAUUAUUGCCACAGUAGUAAAAAUAUCUGUGUCCA